GUGCUUGCUUGGCAGCACAUAUACUAAAAUUGGAAUGAUACGGAGAGGAUUACCAUGGCCCCUGCACAAGAAUGAAACACAAAUUUGUGAAGGGUUCCGUAUUAAA
ensembl:snRNA U6 U6 spliceosomal RNA